UACGUAGGGUGCGAGCGUUUAAUCGGAAUUACUGGGCGUAAAGCGUGCGCAGGCGGUUUUGUAAGCCAGGAUGUGAAAUCCCCGGGACUUAACCCUGGGAAUGGCAUUUGGGACUGCAAGGCUCGAGUGCGGCAGAGGAGACUGGAAUUCCUGGUGUAGCAGUGAAAUGCGUAGAUAUCAGGAGGAACACCGAUGGCGAAGGCAGGUCUCUGGGCUGACACUGACGCUCAUGCACGAAAGCGUGGGGAGCAAACGGG
rnacentral:rRNA from 1 species